rnacentral:lncRNA from 1 species
GAACACUUACAUCCUAUCUACAUCUACUUGGAAGCAAGACUUAUGGCAUUCUCUGGGACUUCUUCCCAGAAAAUGUGUGUGGGACUGAUUCCUUAGAGCACCUUAAAGGAGUUGCUGUCAUCCACAUACAUGACACACCUUGAAGAAGAUGGAUUUGUGAACAAAAGCUUAAUCUCAUAUCAGAAAAAUGUGCCACAGCUCUGUCAGAGUUCAGCCAGACCCUAGACAGAAACCAGCAUCAUGACCACACAGGAGAAACUAGCUGUUACAGUGGAGCCAACAUCACAAGAGGACUCCCUGCCACUUGCAUGGCCUUGCAAUGGUGUCUCAGUCUUCAUCACCAUCUUGACUUCGAUCAGACACAGCUGCAGAAGAUGCAACAAACCAGCUCUCUGGAGGCCUUUCUGAGUACAAAGAAAUGCUACAGCAAGAGGCAGCAGAUGAUAACGGCAGAGGACCCUCCCAAGGCAGAGAGAGGUGGACCCCUCAGAUGGUGCAUGAUGGGAGAAGGUUUGCUGCCAGCCUCCCACCCCAUCUUCCUGGCUGGCAUUUUUCUCAACUGGCACCCCAGGGGUGACAAUCCUAGCUUACCUUUUGCUGAUCUGAGUAGUCUCUCUUGGCUGGGACCCUUUUUUUCCCUCAUCUUGCAACACAGGAAAAGGUCAGGAAAGGGCCCCAACUUACAUGAGAUGCCCUGUGGGGGGACGGGGAGAGGCAGCUCCUGUCAGCAGAUACUGCAUGUGUGCAUGCCUUGCUCUGCUUGGAAACCUUUGCUGGCACAACCAGAUCUGCAUUGCAGCUCUUAAUUUUUCUUUUCCUAAAGGGCUGCUGCCAGUGGCCUGGCAAGAGCGGAGAGUGGGGAAAAGCUGGGUUGCUGGGAGACAUCUUCCAGAUCACACUAGCCAGAUCGCCCUGCGCACCCUAAACUGCCCUGGAGUGCUCUUUCAAAAUCUUUAAUAUAUCUGAAGGUCCAUUUGUUCUCCUCACCAUCUAGCAGACCCUGUGCAUCAGGACAGGGCUGGCGGUUUCCUGCCUGGGACUGGUAUGACUUUACGCAUAAUAAAACGUACCCUACUUAUUAGAACUGCA